rnacentral:rRNA from 1 species
UAACGAAUCUUCCCCAAUGCACGAAAGUGUGAGGGAGCGACGCCGCGUGUGGGAUGAAGUCCUUCGGGAUGUAAACCACUGUCAGGGGAUACCAAGUUCUGAGGAUCCCCAGAGGAAGAGGCGGCUAACUCUGUGCCAGCAGCCGCGGUAAGACAGAGGCCUCAAGCGUUAGGCGGAAUCACUGGGCUUAAAGCGUGUGUAGGCGGGUCGUUAAGUACCUUGUGAAAUCCCACGGCUCACCCCGUGGGACUGCUGGGUAUACUGGCGAUCUUGGGCCAUUCAGGGGCAACUGGAACAAGCGGUGGAGCGAUGAAAUGCGUAGAUAUCGCUUGGAACGCCAAAGGUGAAAACAGGUUGCUGGGAAUGUGCCGACGCUGAGACACGAAAGCCAGGGGAGCGAACAGGAUUAGAUACCCCAGUAGU